rnacentral:rRNA from 1 species
UACGGGGGGGGCAAGCGUUGUUCGGAAUUACUGGGCGUAAAGGGCUCGUAGGCGGCCAACUAAGUCGAACGUGAAAUCCCUCAGCUUAACUGGGGAACUGCGUCCGAUACUGAUUGGCUUGAAUCCGGAAGAGGGAUGCGGAAUUCCAGGUGUAGCGGUGAAAUGCGUAGAUAUCUGGAGGAACACCGGUGGCGAAGGCGGCAUCCUGGGUCGGUAUUGACGCUGAGGCGCGAAAGCCAGGGGAGCAAACGGG